rnacentral:misc_RNA from 1 species
GCGAUGGCAGAGAAUGCUGAAGACCGCGAGCGUGUUCUGCAAUCCUUAAACUUUCAAAGUUUCAGAAGACUCUUGUUUGGGUUGUUGAAACUUGGCAAUCUUUGUAAUGCUAUAAAAAGUAAAUCGUUCAUAGACGCAGAUAGUGAUUAUGAAUGCAUCAUGUACGGGGACUUUCCUUUGGCCAUAAACUUUUCCCUUAUUUUCGAACCUGGAAUACUUUUUCUGAAAGAUGUCAUCGGCAGACGGGUGGAGGGGAAAAUGGAUUACGAAAAAAGGGCCCUGCAGAAAUUGGAAGAUUAUGUGAAGGAAAUGGACUAUCAUGCAGGAUGUCUCAGGAAGGUACUUUUUGAGACGGAACAACGUCCGCGAAAAGAUCUUACUGAAGGAGAAGUAGCAGUGACUUUGACAGAGCAUUUACUGGGAAAACUAGCUCCAGGAGAUUCUUAUGUAGACGAUGGAAAAACCAGGGGGAAAGGACAGUGUCUCUGUGGAUGCAAUGAGAGCCCAAAAUACAGAUCUACAGGAAUAGGUCAUGAAGACGUUUGGCAUGGGUUUAUUGAUAUUUUGUUUUCAUCUCAUACUAGGAUACCAGAAAGUAUUGCAACAGUAACAGAGACACUUUCACCAUCUACAUCUCCUUUGGAUUCAGAAACAAAAGAUGAAGAUUCUCCUGAUGAAGAAACAAUUUCAGAAGAUGCAAAAGGAUCUGAAGACCAGGCUAUUGCACAAACAAUUGUAUUUUCAUUGCUCAAGCGACAGAAUUACCCAUCGUGUCAGCACCAUUUAAUACCGAAUAUUGUAAUAACUCCAACUGAAUUUCGAGUUAAUAUGUAUGAUGCAAUGAAUGACAUUCUCCUCAGUAGCUUAUCGCUAAAAUUAUUUGAUCCUAAGUUUGAGAGCUUACAGAUUGAAUCGGUCAUAAUUCUAUGGAUGGUUCUCCACUAUCGUAUUUUUUGUGCUGGAAUCAAAGUUAAUGAACUCAAAGAGGAGUUUAAAAAAAUUGACAUCCAGGCAAAUUUCAGGAAAAUAGCGGAAUCAAAAUGGGACAUAUAUUCUAAAUCAUUAAAGGAGAAUUUAAGCCAUUUUCCAGAAGAGAAAAAGAAAAAUCCAAUAUCUUAUGAUACAUACUGGCGAGCAAAAGAACUGACAUAUGGGUGAUCAAGUGAUUGAGGUAGACGAAGUGUCAGAAUAUUUUAAUCGUGUUUCAUUAUUAUAUUUAUAUUGAAAUCAUGCUGUAUUAUAUAUGCCAGGGGUGAAAAAACAUUAUUAUGAUAGCUUG